UACGUAGGGUGCAAGCGUUGUCCGGAAUUAUUGGGCGUAAAGAGCUCGUAGGCGGUUUGUCGCGUCUGCUGUGAAAACCCGAGGCUCAACCUCGGGCCUGCAGUGGGUACGGGCAGACUAGAGUGCGGUAGGGGAGAUUGGAAUUCCUGGUGUAGCGGUGAAAUGCGCAGAUAUCAGGAGGAACACCGAUGGCGAAGGCAGGUCUCUGGGCCGAUACUGACGCUGAGGAGACGAAAGCGUGGGGGAGCGAACAGG
rnacentral:rRNA from 1 species